AUUUGUUUCUUGUAUGAAUGAUUAUAUGUCAUCGUACAUGUAGAUGAUAUGUUCUUAUUUUGACUGGACAUGAGGGGGAGCAAGGUGGCUGGAGAUGGGAAAACGAUGAGGCUUUGUUUGGUAGAAGUGGAAUGGGGAGGUUUGGGGAGGGCUGGUGGUGGCUGUAGCCUCUUCCACAUUCCACCACCAUCAGCCUCCUUAACCCCAACCGAAGAGCUGGCCUUUUCCCCACUCACACGGCGCUGUGGUACGCGGAUGUCGCUGCAGAGUAGAGAGAUACCCCUAGAAGUCGCCUUCCUGUCCACCUCUUCAGAAGUGCC